CGCUAAAAUACUGAGGUUGGAAACCACAUUGCAAUCUUACUUACAUGCUAAAAAAGUAGAAUGAGGACCCAUCUGUUACUAAGCAAAUAAGUUGUGGACUCAUGCUAUAAUUUUCUCUUGCUAAAAAAGUAACAAUCGAAUACAAACUACAAAGGAAGCAAAAAUUGAGAGCACGACAACCCAUCUUAACCAUUCUUGCUACUUUCACAAAAUCUUUGUGAACCUACCACCAUUGAGAUGAAUCAUUGCCCUUGAAGAUAACCAAAGCUCUUAGUACCUUUUGGCAUUGUU
rnacentral:lncRNA from 1 species